GGUAACCUGCCUGUAAGACUGGGAUAACUCCGGGAAACCGGGGCUAAUACCGGAUGGUUGUUUGAACCGCAUGGUUCAAACAUAAAAGGUGGCUUCGGCUACCACUUACAGAUGGACCCGCGGCGCAUUAGCUAGUUGGUGAGGUAACGGCUCACCAAGGCGACGAUGCGUAGCCGACCUGAGAGGGUGAUCGGCCACACUGGGACUGAGACACGGCCCAGACUCCUACGGGAGGCAGCAGUAGGGAAUCUUCCGCAAUGGACGAAAGUCUGACGGAGCAACGCCGCGUGAGUGAUGAAGGUUUUCGGAUCGUAAAGCUCUGUUGUUAGGGAAGAACAAGUACCGUUCGAAUAGGGCGGUACCUUGACGGUACCUAACCAGAAAGCCACGGCUAACUACGUGCCAGCAGCCGCGGUAAUACGUAGGUGGCAAGCGUUGUCCGGAAUUAUUGGGCGUAAAGGGCUCGCAGGCGGUUUCUUAAGUCUGAUGUGAAAGCCCCCGGCUCAACCGGGGAGGGUCAUUGGAAAC
rnacentral:rRNA from 1 species